UUUCUCAUGCAUCUCAUGCAUAGGUCACUGAACACAACAAAUCUCUUUACAGGUUCUCAUGUAAAGCUGAGGCAGGCACCAUAUCAGUUAAUUGAUACAUACUGUAUUUCUGAAAAUGAUACAUAAUGAAUAAUGGUUCUUAACAUUUGUCCAGUGUGUAUAUUCUAGGUUGUGAGAAUUGUUUCCAGAAGUGCUCAUCCAUGACAAUACAGUAAAAUAAGAAAUAGCAAAGAGGAAAUGUUCCCGGCUGUUUGGUGCUCCUCUGGUUCACUCCCUCCCUUCACUGCUCAGCUGUGCAGCCAGGAGCUUCAGGAGACUAGAAGAGCAGCAGUGCAUCGUGAUCAAGAGCCCCGGGCGCAGCACUGGCUGUCCUCGCACAAGCAUCUCAGGGGUCCAGUCCAUGUUCGCCCCCAGCAGAGCUCUCCCUUGGGAGAUGUGGAUGACCUGCAGCUUCCUUAGUCUAACCAGAGCAGCUGCUGAGAGAGCCUCCUACAGUCAGGUGACCCAUGUACUGCUUGAACUGCUGCACGCCGUCUUCCACAGCCUGCUUGAAG